rnacentral:rRNA from 1 species
UGAGUACGAGAUGCUACGGCAUCGAAGCAGUCUAUGUCAUACUUCCAAGAAAAGCUUGCAAUGUCAUAAACAAAUAAUGCCUGUACCAUAACCGACACAGGUGGGUAGGUAGAGUAUACUAAGGGGCGCGAGAUAACUCUCUCUAAGGAACUCGGCAAAAUGACUCCGUAACUUCGGGAGAAGGAGUGCCUUAUUUUUAUAAGGUUGCAAUAACAAGAUCCAAGCAACUGUUUACCAAAAACACAGGUCUCCGCUAAGUCGUAAGACGAUGUAUGGGGGCUGACGCCUGCCCAGUGCCAGAAGGUUAAAGAAGUUGGUUAGCAUUAGCGAAGCUGAUAACUGAAGCCCUGGUGAACGGCGGCCGUAACAAUAACGGUCCUAAGGUAGCGAAAUUCCUUGUCGGGUAAGUUCCGACCCGCACGAAAGGCGUAAUGAUUUGGAUACUGUCUCGGAGAGGGGCUCGGUGAAAUAGACUUGUCUGUGAAGAUGCGGACUACCUGCACCUGGACAGAAAGACCCUAUGAAGCUUUACUGUAACUUGAGAUUGAAAUUGGACUUUAUCUGCGCAGUAUAGGUGGGAGACGUUGAAAAUAUUCUUGCGGGAAUAUUGGAGUCAUCAGUGAGAUACCACUCUUAUAAUGUUAGAUUUCUAACUUUGUAUCAUUAUCUGGUCAAAGAACAGUUUCAGGCGGGCAGUUUGACUGGGGCGGUCGCCUCCCAAACGGUAACGGAGGCGCACAAAGGUUUCCUCUGAACGUGUAGAAAUCGUAUCUAGAGUGUAAAGGCAUAAGGAAGCUUGACUGUGAGACCUACAAGUCGAGCAGGGACGAAAGUCGGUCUUAGUGAUCUGACGGUGCUGAGUGGAAAGGCCGUCACUCAACGGAUAAAAGUUACUCUAGGAUAACAGGCUGAUCUCCCCCAAGAGUUCACAUCGACGGGGAGGUUUGGCACCUCGAUGUCGGCUCAUCGCAUCCUGGGGCGGUAGUACGUCCCAAGGGUUAGGCUGUUCGCCCAUGAAAGCGGUACGCGAGCUGGGUUCAGAACGUCGUGAGACAGUUCGGUCCAUAUCCGGUGUAGGCGUUAGAAUAUUGAGAGGAGCCUUCUUUAGUACGAGAGGACCGAGAAGGACAUACCUCUGGUGUACCAGUUAUCGUGCCAACGGUAAACGCUGGGUAGCCAUGUAUGGAGAGGAUAACCGCUGAAAGCAUCUAAGUGGGAAGCCCACCUCAAGAUAAG